rnacentral:sRNA from 1 species
AAUGGCGGAAGUGGCACCGUUGCCAGGCAGCCGUUGCCUGGCGUCGCGGGGCGUACUCUGCGCUGGGCGCGCGGAGGCCUAGGCGGGAAGCUCGAGCGGCGGCGCCAUGGCCCGAGGUAGCGCGCGGCUGGCGGGGGUCCCGAGGGUCCCGGGUUCCGGGGUUCCGGGGUCCAGGGUCGGCGGCCGGAGCGCUCAGGGCCCCCGCCUAGGCCCUGAGGCCAGAGUCCCCGCUCAGACAGGGUCCCGUCUGCCGGGCGCCCACCCUCGGGCUCCCGGAGCUUGGCUUCCCUCGGGCGCCCGGCCUCGUCCCGCCAGCCUAGCUGGCGUUGGCGUCGCCGGGGAAGGCGGGGAGAGCCCCGGCUCCUGCCUGGUCCCCGAGGCCCGGCCCAGCCCCGCAGUGGCCCCGGCUCGCGUGGCCGAGUCCCCUGACGCCCGGCGCCCGCUCCCCGCAGCGUGGCAGCACCCGUUCCUCAACGUCUUCAGACACUUCCGGGUGGACGAGUGGAAGCGCUCCGCCAAGCAGGGGGACGUGGCCGUGGUCACGGACAAGACCCUGAAAGGCGCCGUGUAUCGCAUUCGGGGCUCAGUCUCUGCCGCCAACUACAUCCAGCUCCCUAAGAGCAGCACCCAGUCCUUGGGGCUGACGGGACGAUACCUGUAUGUGCUCUUUCGGCCCCUGCCCAGCAAGCACUUCGUCAUCCACCUGGAUGUGUCCUCCAAGGACAACCAAGUCAUCCGUGUGUCUUUCUCCAACCUCUUCAAGGAGUUUAAGUCUACGGCCACGUGGCUCCAGUUUCCCUUGGUCCUGGAGGCCAGGACACCUCAGAGAGAUCUGGUGGGUUUGGCCCCCUCCGGAGCCCGCUGGACCUGCCUGCAGCUCGAUCUGCAGGACGUUCUCCUGGUCUACCUGAACCGGUGCUAUGGCCAUCUCAAGAGCAUCAGGCUGUGCGCCAGCCUGCUGGUCAGGAACCUGUACACCAGUGACCUGUGCUUUGAGCCUGCCAUCUCUGGGGCCCAGUGGGCAAAGCUGCCCGUGACUCCUAUGCCUCGGGAAAUGGCAUUCCCUGUGCCCAAGGGAGAGAGCUGGCAUGACCGCUACAUCCACGUCCGGUUUCCAAGUGAGAGCUUGAAAGUGCCUUCCAAGCCGAUUGAGAAGAGCUGUUCCCCUCCUGAGGCAGUCCUCCUGGGGCCGGGGCCACAGCCUCUCCCUUGCCUGGUGGCCUCCAGCAAACCUGUGCGGUUCAGUGUGUCUCCAGUGGUCCAGACGCCCAGCCCCACAGCCGUGAGUACCCCCUUCGCCCUAUGAGAUGGGGUUGGGGUGUGAUGGCCCAGGACGCUGAUGGGCACUUGUCCCCCAGCAGUGCGGCCGGGCCCCCGUGGCACCCAGGCCCUUCCCGGAGGUCAGCCUGUCCCAAGAGCGCUCAGACGCCUCCAACGCGGAUGGCCCCGGUUUCCAUAGCCUUGAGCCCUGGGCCCAGGUGGAGGCCUCUGACGUCCACACGGCUGCUGCCGGCACCCAUGUGUUGACUCACGAGUCGGCUGAGGUGCCCGUGGCCCGCACCGGCUCCUGCGAAGGCUUCCUCCCAGACCCAGUCCUGAGGCUCAAGGGCGUCAUCGGCUUUGGGGGCCACGGCACCAGACAGGCCCUGUGGACCCCAGACGGGGCGGCUGUCGUGUACCCCUGCCAUGCGGUGAUCGUCGUCCUGCUCGUGGACACGGGGGAGCAGCGCUUCUUCCUUGGCCACACAGACAAGGUCUCCGCCCUGGCGCUGGAUGGCAGCAGCUCACUAUUGGCCUCGGCCCAGGCAAGGGCCCCUAGUGUGAUGCGGCUCUGGGACUUCCAGACCGGGCGGUGCCUGUGCCUGUUCCGGAGCCCAAUGCACGUUGUCUGCUCUCUCAGGUGAGCACAGGUCUGCCCCAUGCAGGGGGUGGGGGUCAGCCCAGGCGACACUGACCGCCUCCUCCCUGUUCACAGCUUCUCUGACAGCGGGGCCCUUCUCUGCGGGGUUGGCAAGGACCACCACGGGAGGACGGUAACAGGGCCCUGGCUGGGGGUUGGGGUGGGGCCGUCCUGAUGCAUGCAGACAGCUGGAAGGGUCUUGGUUUUCUGAAACUCCAGCUUCAUGUGACCCUGGGUCCCUGCUCUGUGUCCUCCCUGUGGUGGGGCUCCCUGCACUCUGGUGUUCAUGCCGCCCCCGUGCCCUGCACAAAAACCACCAGCAGCAGCUCACAUUUCACGUCUCGGCUUUUCGGCCAUCGGAGUCGGUUUAAGCCAGCGUUUACACACCUCGCCUCGUUCUCUCUGCUGGUGAUGCGGUUGUAAGAUUUUCACGUGGCAGAGCCCCUGCAGCUGACCCACGCUUGGGCAUCAGUGGCACCUCCACACAGCCGAAGCACCCGGCAUCUUGGUGGGGGCACCUUUUUAAACAUUUUUUUUUUUGAGGGAGGGCCUUAUUCUGUCACCUAGGCUGGAAUGCAGUGGUGCAAUCAUAGCUCACUGCAGCCUCGACCCCCUCCCUGACCUCCCCGCCAGCUGGACUCCAGCCAUCCUCCUGCCUCAGCUUCCCAGAUAGCUGGGCCACAGGCGUGUGCCACCGCACCUGGCUAACUGUUUUUUUUUUUUUUUUUUUGAGAUGGCAUCUUGCUCUGUCGCCCAGGAUGGAGUGCAGUGGCGCGAUCUUGGCUCACUGCAAGCUCCGCCUCCCAGGUUCACACCAUUCUCCUGCCUCAGCCUCCCCAGUAGCUGGGACUACAGGCGCCUGCCAACACGCCUGGCUAAUUUUUUUUUUUUUUGUAUUUUUGGUAGAGAUAGGCUUUCACCUUGUUAGCCAGGAUGGUCUCACGUUUUGUUUUUUUAACUUUUUGUAGAGAUAGGGUUUCAUUACAUUGCUCAGGCUGGUCUCAAACUCCAGGGCUCAAGCAGUCCUCCCACCUUAGCCUCCCAAAGUGCUGGGAUCACAGGCAUGAGCUACUGUGCCCAGCCACGAGCUGCUUUUUAUCCACCUUCCGGCUUGUGGGUGGGUUUGUACUUCUCUGUGAAUGGGUUGCAGUGCUCAGCAUUGCGGGUCUCUGUAGAAGUCCCAAAGCUUCAGGAUGAGAAGAUGGAGGGGCUGGUUUCCUUCCACUCUCCGCGGCCGCAUGCUCAGAGGCUGGUCUCUGCGUGAGAGAAAAGCCACUUCCGGGUGGGGCUCGGCUGGGCCUUGCAGAAUCGAGGUGGCACCGACUGGCCCUGCCAUGUGGGCUCAGCCUGGGCUUGUUGCAGAUGGUGGUGGCCUGGGGCACCGGCCAGGUGGGCCUCGGUGGCGAGGUGGUCGUUCUGGCAAAGGCGCACACUGACUUUGACGUCCAGGCCUUCCGGGUCACCUUUUUUGAUGAAACCAGGAUGGCGUCGUGCGGGCAGGGCAGCGUGCGGCUCUGGCGGCUGCGUGGCGGGGCGCUGCGUUCCUGCCCCGUGGACUUAGGGGAGCACCAUGCGCUGCAGUUCACCGACCUCGCCUUCAAGCAGGCCCGGGACGGCUGCCCGGAGCCCUCAGCUGCCAUGCUCUUGGUGUGCAGCCGCAGUGGCCACAUCUUGGAGAUUGACUGUCAGCGCAUGGUCGUGCGGCAUGCCCGCCGCCUGCUCCCCACACGGACUCCAGGCGGUCCCCACCCGCAGAAGCAGACCUUCAGCUCAGGUAAGAGGGCGCCCACCACGUGGCGAGGGUGGCAGGGACACCGAGGCACUGACGCCUCCCUGCCCCCAGGCCCCGGCAUUGCCAUCAGCAGCCUCAGCGUCUCCCCGGCCAUGUGUGCUGUGGGCUCUGAGGACGGCUUCCUGCGGCUCUGGCCCCUGGACUUCUCCUCGGUGCUCCUGGAGGCAGGUGAUGCUGUGGGCACGCUCUCCCAACUCCGGGAGAGCCUCGCCUGGAUGCUGGGGCGGGGAAGGCCCAGUCCCUGGGGCUCUGCUGUCAGCCGCCCUGGCUCCUGGCUGCACAGGGUGCCACGGGGCCAAGUGGCGUAUCCAGAGCCCUGGGGCGGCUGAUGCCAGGGCGGCCCGCAGGGCAGCCUCACGGAAGGGCCCGGUGGGACGUGGGUACUGUGUGAAGCCCCUCAGCCUGUGUCCCGCCUAGCCUAAGAGUGGUGGUCUCGAGGGAGCUGCAUCUUGCAGCCGUGUGGAGCCUGGGACUUUGAGCAGCAGGGAGUGCAUUUGCUGGGGUCUCGGGGACCCGAAGCCUGAGCAUGCGGCUCACCCCGGGGUGGCCCUGGAGGCCCCUGACCCCACCCCACCCACAGAGCACGAGGGCCCCGUCAGCUCAGUCUGUGUCAGCCCCGAUGGCCUCCGUGUGCUGUCUGCCACCUCCUCGGGCCACCUGGGCUUCCUGGACACGCUGUCCCGGGUGUACCACAUGCUGGCUCGCUCCCACACCGCCCCGGUGCUGGCCCUCGCCAUGGAGCAGAGGCGGGGACAGCUGGCCACCGUGUCCCAGGACCGCACCGUCCGCAUCUGGGACCUGGCCACCCUGCAGCAGCUAUACGACUUCACAUCAUCAGAGGAAGCCCCGUGCGCUGUCACCUUCCACCCCACAAGGCCAACCUUUUUCUGUGGCUUUAGCAGUGGGGCUGUGCGCUCCUUCAGCCUGGAGGCCGCUGAGGUCCUGGUGGAACACACGUGCCACCGAGGAGCUGUCACCAGCCUGACCGCCACCCCUGACGGCCGCCUGCUCUUCAGCUCCUGCUCCCAGGGCUCCCUGGCCCAGUACAGCUGUGCGGACCCCCAGUGGCAUGUCCUCCGAGUGGCAGCGGACAUGGUAUGCCCGGAUGCCCCCGCGAGCCCCAGCGCUCUGGCAGUCAGCAGGGAUGGCCGCCUGCUGGCCUUCGUGGGACCCUCCAGGUGCACAGUGACAGUCAUGGGCUCGGCCUCCCUUGAUGAGCUGCUGCGAGUUGACAUCGGCACUCUGGACCUGGCCAGCAGCCGCCUGGACUCAGCCAUGGCUGUGUGCUUUGGCCCUGCAGCUCUGGGCCACCUGCUGGUGUCCACCUCAUCCAACAGAGUCGUGGUGCUGGAUGCUGUGUCGGGCCGCAUCAUCCGGGAGCUGCCUGGUGUCCACCCUGAGCCCUGCCCCUCCUUGACGCUCAGUGAGGACGCCCGCUUCCUGCUGAUUGCCGCCGGCCGGACCAUCAAGGUGUGGGACUACGCGACACAGGCCAGCCCAGGCCCCCAGGUGUACAUCGGCCACUCGGAACCCGUGCAGGCUGUGGCCUUCUCUCCUGACCAGCAGCAGGUCCUCAGCGCAGGGGACGCCGUCUUCCUCUGGGAUGUCCUGGCCGCUACUGAGAGGCAAGUGCCUGCUCUCAGCUGUGUCUGCCUAGGCCCCCCAGGCCCUCCUGAAACCCUCUCUCCUCCCUCUCCAGCGACCAAAGCUUCCCCGGGGCCCCCCCAGCCUGCAAGACAGGCCUGGGCGCAGGACCGCUGGAGGACGCAGCAUCCAGGGCCAGCGAGCUCCCCCGGCAGCAGGUCCCCAAGCCAUCUCAGGCAUCUCCACCACGGCUGGGCGUCUGUGCCAGGCCUCCCGAAGGUGGCGAUGGCGCCAGGGACACCAGGAAUUCGGGGGCCCCACGCACCACCUACCUGGCUUCCUGCAAGGCCUUCACGCCUGCCAGGGUCAGCUGCAGCCCCCACUCUGCCAAGGGCACUUGCCUGCCUCCCGCCAGCGGUGGGUGGCUGCGUCUGAAGGCUGUCGUCGGCUACAGCGGGAAUGGGCGGGCCAACAUGGUCUGGAGGCCGGACACAGGCUUCUUUGCCUACACGUGCGGCCG